UCCCCGCAGAUUGGCGCCCAACGAGGAAGACCGACCCCCACAGACCGGCAACCCCACGUGUCUGAAGACCUCUUCAGCUUUUCUACCUGUGGGAGACUUCUCCAUGGACGCUCUGAGUGGAGUCUGGAGGCCCCGAGCACGGAAAGACGUUCCUGAGCGACGCCUGAAACCGGAGCUCUGAGGGGGACCUCAAGCAGAGUCCUGAGCGCCGACUGGAGUGCCUGGCCAGCCCCCCACGUCGGAGUUCUGAGUGAGGACCCUGCCCCUGCGAUAUCGAGGUGAGCUACACUGGUGUAAAAAUGGGACAAUCCCACUCUGCCCCUGAUCGGGAUCUCUAUAAGGAACUUAAGCAUUCUUUACGCUGCAGUAACAGUACUUUACCUAAGCAAGAGCUUAAAAACCUUUUAGAAUGGACUUUA